CCCUUCUCAGGAUCGUACCUGGAGAGUUUCCAGUACUCUACUAGUCUCGGCUACUGGAGGGAGAGCCAAGAAGAGGCACACCCAUUCCAAUCCUAGCUUAGGCAGUGGCUAGCCAAUGGAAGGCAAUCUGCUACAAGU
rfam:Ornithorhynchus anatinus chromosome 1, whole genome shotgun sequence.